AAUCCAUAGGUUAAUGAGGCGAACCGGGGGAACUGAAACAUCUAAGUACCCCGAGGAAAAGAAAUCAACCGAGAUUCCCCCAGUAGCGGCGAGCGAACGGGGAGGAGCCCAGAGCCUGAAUCAGCAUGUGUGUUAGUGGAAGCGUCUGGAAAGGCGCGCGAUACAGGGUGACAGCCCCGUACACAAAAGCGCAUGUGCUGUGAGCUCGAUGAGUAGGGCGGGACACGUGGUAUCCUGUCUGAAUAUGGGGGGACCAUCCUCCAAGGCUAAAUACUCCUGACUGACCGAUAGUGAACCAGUACCGUGAGGGAAAGGCGAAAAGAACCCCGGCGAGGGGAGUGAAAAAGAACCUGAAACCGUGUACGUACAAGCAGUGGGAGCCCCACCACUAAGCCAGUGGUGAACUCCACAUACGCAUCCUUUGCUGAGGAUACGGUUAACGGAGCGAAAGCGACGUUCAACCUCAAAAGAAGCAGAGGGGGCUUAGUGGUGGGGUGACUGCGUACCUUUUGUAUAAUGGGUCAGCGACUUAUAUUCUGUAGCAAGGUUAACCGC
rnacentral:rRNA from 1 species